AUGGCAGGGAAAACUCUUAUUCUGGAGGGUCUAACUGCCGACUUGGACGAUCAAAUCAAAUCAAAGUUAUCAUCGUACUUCCAAAUCAAGAGGCGAUCUGGAGGAGGCGAGAUAUCAGAACUCUACGCAGAUCCAACCGAUAAAAGAAAAGUUGUACUGGUCUAUGUCAAUGACAAAGUUCGAAACGAAGUUUUGUCGAGAAAGACUCAUCAAGUUGAUCUCAAAGGGUCACUGGGGGUAGUAACACUGCACGUUACACUGCCAGAGGAUGUCAAGUCAGAGGUAAAUAACAAAUAGCACCACAUUGUCCAGAUACGUGACAUGCGUUAAAAGUCCAUAGCGUCCAGCUGCAUACCUAAAGCCUCAGGCCCUCCUCCAGCGUUGGCACGCAUCUCCGUAGUCAGGAGCAGUGACGGACUGGACGGUCUGUCUGGCAUUCGGGCAGAUGCCAGAGGGGCUGCGGCCUCUCGUGGGCCGUUUGGGCCGGCCAAUCGCGGGGCGGCAUCCUUUUCGGGUUAGCGCGGCCGCUUCGUCCCAACGCGGCCCCACAUUAUCUCUUGGCCCACUAAGCUUCAAAUUAGCCAUUUGUCUCUAAAUCCCUAUUCAUGCGAUAUAAUAGGAAACGAAUCAGUGUUUAUACGAGAUAUGAGUUUCUAUAUACUACAGUCAUGGUUGCCCUUAAUAUUUACAUCGGUCUACAUUAUUUUGUAGCCUUAUUCAAUCAGAUGUUUAAAAAGUGCAUUGUUUGAAAUUGAAAUAAAACAAAUCUGCCUGUAAUUUUAAUUGUAUUAUUUGUUUACAAAAGUUCUAUGAAGCAAUGACUUCUGGGAAUUUCAAAACCGAAUCAGACCACGUCUGCGUAUAGGGGGUUGAAAGUUGGAAGAUACCACUGCGUUUUAAUAUCCAUCCGUCUCGGAGGUCCAAACACGCCCCUUUUCCUCGGACGGCGAACUCGCCAUCUCGGUGGGACUCAGUGGUGACCGAGCAAAAUUCCGUGACAGAAUUCAAGAUGGGUGCGCCCAUUGUGACUUGAAGUAUGAACUGUUUCAUUGUGCUUGGACCCCUUUGGUGGUUUAAAUGGCAAUUUCAAUCACUCGUAUUACUGCAAUACCUUACUGCGUCCGUAUCUCUGCCUAUGUACACAAAUAUAUUGUAUUUGUGUACAGCACUUUGGUCAACUACUGUUGUUUUAAAUGUGCUAUAUAAAUAUACUUGACUUGACUUGACUAUGGCCUAUAUAGCCUACUUAUUUUGGAGCGCCUGGUCCUCUGCCAAUGCUACCGCGACAACAGCUUUCCGGGUGGCGUCCAUGUUUUCCUCCAACGACCGAGCGAAAUAAUAAAAGGCUUGAAGUGUGGGCGUGGCGUCAGAUCCGAGAUCCGAGUCGGUUCGCAGUAGGUAUGGGCAAAAUGAUUCUUUUCCCGGAACUAGUUCUUUCAGUUCAGUUCACUACAACGAUUUGUUUGUUUGAUUCGUUCGUUACGUCAUUUGACAGGGAAUCUCACAGGUGUCUGCCCCCCCCUCCACCCGCGAACGGCCCUGAGCAUAAUUUAAGCAAUUUCUAGGCUCUCCCCCCGUGAAAAUCGACAAAAUACACGAUAUAAUAUAAUCAAACGUCCCACCAAUAUUUAUACCACUUGCUUACUCUCUAUAUGUCAUUCAUGUUAUCAUGAAUGACAUCAUUUUUUUUUUUACUUUACAUUUAAUUCUUCAUUAUUCAGGCAUUACAGAACUUUCAUGGUCAUGAAUAAAAAAUACAAACUGCAGUUUAAUUUCUUUGUUUGUUCUUGAAUUGACAUAGAAUGGAGCAAAGACUCCUGGGAUUGGGAAAUGCGUUUAUCCAAUAGCAGAUUGAGGUCAAGUCUAUUUUCGGAAAUGUAGGGGGAUAUAUGAGGCCCCACGUCGAAUGGUAUGGCCCAAGAUACGUCAGACAGAGAAAGCGCGCAAUUUCGACGGUACAACCUUGUCAUUUGUUUACCCAAGUGCCAUGGCAACACCAUUGCUACCUCUCAUUGGCUGAAUCUUUGAGAACGUUGUAGAUUCAAUCGAUAUAAGGUUGCGAAGAGACAAAGCUCUGUUCGUUUGUAUAUUUUAUUUACGUGACCAUAUUUUUGUUUAAUGUUAAAAAAAAAAGAAUCAAAGAACCAGUUCUUCUUGUUUUGGGGAACCAGUUCUUGUCGUUCACGUUCGCAGAGAAUACUCGAACGCAGCAUGCUGCGUUCGAGUAUUCUUGCAAGCGAGUCGAAAGACAAACUGCAACCUAUUUCUUGAUGUUAGCAAGGCGAAAUUGCCAGACAAUUUUCAUCGUACAUUUCAUACACUUAUACACACAAUUCCUUGUUUCAGUUUAACAACAUUCCCACAUUUCCUUGUUAGAGUUCAACAUUGUUUUGGUAGUUGGCCAUCAAUUUGAUUCAGGGAGCCUGAGGUCUGAACUUCAACUCCUGUAUUCAGAUAAGGACUUGUAGGGUGACAAGGGAAAGCUGUGUGAUUUCUUGGUGUCAGAUGAAUUAUGAAUUCAAGUGUUUUCAAUACAUUUAUAAAUGAUUGAUGUUUAUGUGGUUGAAUGUAGUUAUUAUUAAGGUAAAGUCAUUACUUAAUCAACCAGCACUUAUUUUAUCUUUUGUUCAUUGAUACAGUAAGCUCAGGUGCCGCACACAGGAUCUGAGCUGAAAAAACAGCCUAGCAAAAAGGAACGCUCAUCUAUUAUAAUUAGGAAAAUCUAUUCAGAAUCAAUUUGCCAGAAACGUCUACCAGAAACAAAGUUCUCCUUUGCUGGGACCCACGGUGGAAAUCACUAGCGUAAGAACAUUUCAGACGUCACCUCCUUCUCAAAGUUGGUGACCAGAACCGAUCAGACCGUGGAGGUGGUUCUGAGCCUGGAUAUCUGCAGCUAGAUGCUUCUCCGAAUUUGUAGCUGAUUUAGAGUGAUUUACAACAUAGCCUUGGGUCCUUCAUGUGUCACGUGUGUAUCAUAUCAUGCCUGCUUAACAAUAAACAUGUGCCCUCCUUCUACAGCCCGUGUUAUCUUCUGAAGCAGGUAAGUUCCAUUUUUACUCCCUGUUUUCAUUGACAUAGAGAUUCAACUGAUAUGAUAUAAUGAACUUUUCAGACUUCGUCUGCUAUGACGAGGCAAAGGAAGACGCGGCACUACUGCGUGUCACCAGUGAGCGCUGCCGGGAGUCCCUCGAGAUGUUCUUUGAACAGUGUAUCAAAGAUCCUAUUCUUAGAAAACAUGGGAAAAACACAUGGAUCCUACAAACGUCCAAUAAAGCAGGUAAUCAAAUUGUUAAAACAAGCACAGUGAUACUAGUAUGGGAUUAUCAUGUAUAAAUAGUGAGAAAAUAGUUAAAUAAUAGUAAAUAGUGUAAAAAGCAGAUCUGCUGUUACAAGUGGUAAAAAUAAAUUAUCUAAAUAUGAAAAGAUUGUAUUCAAUGCCUGAAUGGCAGAGGGCACGAAAGAUUUCUUAAAGAAUUUCCGUCUGGCUCUAUGGACCCGAAGUCUCCGUCCAGACGGGAGCAGCUCGAAGGCUGAAUGAAGUGAAUGUCAGGGGUCUAUGGUUACUUCAUUAGCCUUCCUGAUCACUGCUCUAUCAAAUAUUGUUGGGAGUGGUUUUUGUGACUUGCCAAUCACCUUCCCUGCAAUUUUAGUUAUUUUGGUGAGUUAGUUUUUAUUUAAAACACUCAGGUUCCCAUACCAGGCAGAUGUAAUAAAAUAAAGUAUUCGACCUGGCUUCUAUAGGUCAUCUCGAGUAUGUGCUGGCUGAAAUCAAAACUCAACUUCCUGAUUAAAAACAGUCUUUGGUUGGCUCUUUCAAAAAUGCUGCUUGUGUUCUCAUUACAAUUUAGGUUAUGUUCAAUUAUUGUGCCUAAGUAUUUAAAUUGUUUCACCUGUUCAACUGGCAGGUUGUUAAGGAUGACAGGGGGGUUGUUGCCGUCCCCACUGGUUUUUGAUCUUAUUAUAACUUAUUUUGUUUUGACCACAUUGAUUUCUAACUUUCUUGAUAGACACCAGUCCUGAAGGACACUGUAUUGGCUGAGGUAUGCCUCCUCAUGUGUGGCCUCAUCCUUCAGGAGGAGGCCAGCCAGGGACAUGUCAUCUGCACAUUUAAAAGGUUUAAUGUUACUGCUGUGACUAUUGGUGUAGAUCGAGAACAAUAUAGGAGACAGCACACAACCUUGCGGAGCACCAGUGUUUAAAACAAGCUCAACAGAGUAGACCCCAUUCAUAAAAACUCUCUGAGGGCGGUCAGUUAAAAAACUAGAUAUACUGUAUGUACUCACUUUGCAUAACAGCUUGUGAACAUAAACUCUUUUUUUUUAAAUUGUAAUCUUCAAUCUCUUUCUAAAUACACGCACGCACGCACACACGCACACACACACACACACACACACACACACACACACACACACACACACAC
ensembl:lncRNA